GUAAUGGAGAGUUUGAUCCUGGCUCAGAAUAAACGCUGGCGGCGCGCCUAACACAUGCAAGUCGAGCGAGAAAGUUCCUUCGGGAAUGAGUACAGCGGCGGACGGUUGAGUAACACGUGAGAAUCUACCCUUUAGUGAAGGAUACCCUCGAGAAAUCGAGGUUAAUACUACAUAAGCCCCCUUGGGGGGAAAGGCGGCCUCUUUGCUGUCGCUAAAGGAUGAGCUUGCGGCCUAUCAGCUAGUUGGUGAGGUAAAGG
rnacentral:rRNA from 1 species